rnacentral:rRNA from 1 species
AUUGAACGCUGGCGGCAGGCUUAACACAUGCAAGUCGAGCGAGCGGCGGACGGGUGAGUAAUGUCUGGGAAACUGCCUGAUGGAGGGGGAUAACUACGGGAAACGGUAGCUAAUACCGCAUACCAUCAGAUGUGCCCAGAUGGGAUUAGCUAGUAGGUGGGGUAAUGGCUCACCUAGGCGACGAUCCCUAGCUGGUCUGAGAGGACGACGGCCCACACGGGAACUGAGACAACGUCCAGACACCUACGGGAGGCAGCAGUGGGGAAUAUUGCACAAUGGGCGCCAGCCUGAUGCAGCCAUGCCGCGUGUGUGAAGAAGGCCGUCGGGUUGUAAAGCACUUUCAGCGAGGAGGCGUUACUCGCAGAAGAAGCACCGUCUAACUCCGUGCCAGCCGCCGCGGUAAUUC